AAGAAGGAAAUUUGUCUGCUCCUUUCCUCUUGGGGCCCUGGUAUGCAAUGGCUGCAAACAGCAGCCUCUUUGGAAAUGUAUUCAGCCUGUUGCUUGUUUUGGCUGCUCUAGGGGACCUUGGAGACAUUC